rnacentral:rRNA from 1 species
AUUGAACGCUGGCGGAAUGCUUUACACAUGCCAGUCGAACGAUGAACCUUAGCUUGCUAAGGGGAUUAGUGGCGAACGGGUGAGUAAUGUAUCGGAACGUAUCCAAUAAUGGGGGAUAACUAGUCGAAAGAUUAGCUAAUACCGCAUACGUCCUACGGGAGAAAGCUAGGGACCUUCGGGCCUGGCGUUAAUGGAGCGGCCGAUAUCUGAUUAGGUAGUUGGGGGGGUAAAGGCUCACCAAGGCGACGAUCAGUAGCCGGUCUGAGAGGACGACCCGCCACACUGGAACUGAGACACGGUCCAGAAUACUACGGGAGGCAGCAGUGGGGAAUUUUGGACAAUGGGGGAAAGCCUGACUCAGCCAUUCCGCGUGAGUGAAGAAGGCCUUCGGGUUGUAAAGCCCUUUCGCAAGGGAAGAAAACUUAAGCUCUAACAUAGCUUGAGGUUGACGGUACCUUGAUAAGAAGCACCGGCUAACUACGUGCCAGCAGCCGCCGUAA